AGUGAACGCUGGCGGUAGGCCUAACACAUGCAAGUCGAACGGCAGCACAGUAAGAGCUUGCUCUUACGGGUGGCGAGUGGCGGACGGGUGAGGAAUACAUCGGAAUCUACUUUUUCGUGGGGGAUAACGUAGGGAAACUUACGCUAAUACCGCAUACGACCUACGGGUGAAAGCAGGGGAUCUUCGGACCUUGCGCGAUUGAAUGAGCCGAUGUCGGAUUAGCUAGUUGGCGGGGUAAAGGCCCACCAAGGCGACGAUCCGUAGCUGGUCUGAGAGGAUGAUCAGCCACACUGGAACUGAGACACGGUCCAGACUCCUACGGGAGGCAGCAGUGGGGAAUAUUGGGCAAUGGGCGCAAGCCUGAUCCAGCCAUACCGCGUGGGUGAAGAAGGCCUUCGGGUUGUAAAGCCCUUUUGUUGGGAAAGAAAAGCAGCAGGUUAAUACCCCGCUGUUCUGACGGUACCCAAAGAAUAAGCACCGGCCAACUUCGUG
rnacentral:rRNA from 1 species